rnacentral:rRNA from 1 species
AGUGGAUGGGGAGCAACCUAGUUGUGCGUGUGUAAAGGUAGUGCCAAGAAAAGCGGUGAUCAUGAUGAAAAUCAAUUCCCGGUACCCGAAACCGACACAGGUGGGCAAGUAGAGAAUACUAAGGGGCGCGAGGUAACUCUCUCCAAGGAACUCGGCAAAAUGACCCCGUAACUUAGGGAGAAGGGGUGCCACCGAGAGGUGGUCGCAGUGAAGAGGCCCAGGCGACUGUUUAGCAAAAACAUAGGUCUCUGCAAACUCGAAAGAGGAGGUAUAGGGGCUGACGCCUGCCCAGUGCCGGAAGGUUAAAGAAGUUGGUCAGUCUUAGGAUGAAGCUAGCGACUGAAGCCCCGGUGAACGGCGGCCGUAACUAUAACGGUCCUAAGGUAGCGAAAUUCCUUGUCGGGUAAGUUCCGACCCGCACGAAAGGCGUAACGAUCUGGGCGCUGUCUCGGAGAGAGGCUCGGCGAAAUAGGAUUGUCUGUGAAGAUACGGACUACCUGCACCUGGACAGAAAGACCCUAUGAAGCUUUACUAUAGCUUGGAAUUGUGUUCGGGCUUCCUGUGCGCAGGAUAGGUGGGAGGCGUAGAAGGUAUUCUUGUGGGGAUACUGGAGCCAACGGUGAGAUACCACUCUCAGGAGGCUAGAAUUCUAACUUAAUUAAGGACAGUUUCAGGUGGGUAGUUUGACUGGGGCGGUCGCCUCCAAAAAGGUAACGGAGGCGUACAAAGGUUCCCUCAGACUGGUUGGAAAUCAGUCGAAGAGUGCAAAGGCAGAAGGGAGCUUGACUGCAGAAGUACAGUUCGAGCAGGGUGGAAACACGGUCUUAGUGAUCCGACGGUGCUGUGUGGAAGGGCCGUCGUUCAACGGAUAAAAGUUACUCUAGGAUAACAGGCUGAUCUCCCCCAAGAGUUCACAUCGACGGGGAGGUUUGGCACCUCGAUGUCGGCUCAUCGCAACCUGGGGCGGAAGUACGUCCCAAGGGUUGGGCUGUUCGCCCAUUAAAGCGGUACGUGAGCUGGGUUCAGAACGUCGUGAGACAGUUCUGUCCAUAUCCGAUGUAGGCGUGAGAAUAUUGAGAGGAGCCUUCCUUAGUACGAGAGGACCGGGAAGGACGCACCGCUGGUGUACCUGUUAUGAUGCCAAUUGUAAACGCAGGGUAGCCAAGUGCGGAGAGGAUAACCGCUGAAAGCAUCUAAGUGGGAAGCCCACCUCAAGAUGAGUAUUCUGGUGUAAGGUCACGGGAAGACGACCCGUAAAUAGGCACGAGGUGGAAGUGCAGAGAUGUAUGAAGCCGAAGUGUACUAAUAGACCGUCGGCUUGACCU